CCCAGCAGCCGUGAGCUGUGCAGACAGACUCACCGCCGGGACGGGGUCACACUGCUGGGAGAGGAGUGUCCUGCCUUCUUCCUCCAGGUGCCUCUGUCACUGUCCUGGUGGCAUCUGGUGCUGGUGCAAGGCAGGACUGUGCUUCCUUGAGAGUGUGCUAGGCAUUCGCUUUGGCUGCUUAGUUCUAGAAUGGGAGAAGACACA